rnacentral:tRNA from 4 species
GUGACCGUAGCUCAACGGCAGAGCAUCGCCCUGUGGAGGCGAAUGUUGCGGGUUCAAAUCCCGUCGGUCACCCA